rnacentral:rRNA from 1 species
UACGUAGGGGGCUAGCGUUGUCCGGAAUCAUUGGGCGUAAAGCGCGUGUAGGCGGUCCGGUAAGUCCGCUGUGAAAGUCGGGGGCUCAACCCUCGGAUGCCGGUGGAUACUGUCGGGCUUGAGUACGGAAGAGGCGAGUGGAAUUCCUGGUGUAGCGGUGAAAUGCGCAGAUAUCAGGAGGAACACCGGUGGCGAAGGCGACAUCCUGGACCAACACUGACGCUGAGGAGCGAAAGCCAGGGGAGCAAACGGG